rnacentral:rRNA from 1 species
AGUGAACGCUGGCGGCAGGCCUAACACAUGCAAGUCGAACGGCAGCACAGUAAGAGCUUGCUCUUACGGGUGGCGAGUGGCGGACGGGUGAGGAAUACAUCGGAAUCUACUUUUUCGUGGGGGCUAGCGCAGGGAAACUUACGCUAAUACCGCAUACGACGUACGGGUGAAAGCAGGGGACCUUCGGCCCUUGCGCGAUUGAAUGAGCCGAUGUCGGAUUAGCUAGUUGGCGGGGUAAAGGCCCACCAAGGCGACGAUCCGUAGCUGGUCUGAGAGGAUGAUCAGCCACACUGGAACUGAGACACGGUCCAGACUCCUACGGGAGGCAGCAGUGGGGAAUAUUGGACAAUGGGCGCAAGCCUGAUCCAGCCAUGCCGCGUGGGUGAAGAAGGCCUUCGGGUUGUAAAGCCCUUUUGUUGGGAAAGAAAGGCAGCAGGUUAAUACCCCGCUGUUCUGACGUUACCCACAGAAUAAGCACCGGCUAACUUCGUG